AUACGGAGGGUGCAAGCGUUAUUCGGAAUCACUGGGCGUAAAGGACGCGUAGGCGGGUUGGCAAGUCAGAUGUGAAAUCCUACAGCUUAACUGUAGAACUGCAUUUGAAACUGCUAACCUAGAGUAUGGGAGGGGGAGAUGGAAUUAGUGGUGUAGGGGUAAAAUCCGUAGAUAUCACUAGGAAUACCGAAAGCGAAGGCGAUCUCCUGGAACAUAACUGACGCUAAGGCGUGAAAGCGUGGGGAGCAAACAGGAUUGGAAACCCUAGUAGUCC
rnacentral:rRNA from 1 species